CUCACCCAUCAAAAUCUCCCAGCCUCCCACUCCACUUAACCCCUCUCUCUGCCCCGCAAGUCGCAACCUCGGCGUCUCCGCUUGUCCUCCUCUGCAUCGAGAUAUAUCGGUUGAAGGUACUAAUAGACACCGGUGGAAGAGGAGUGGGUCGGGGCAACAAUCGGCGCCCGUGACUCCUUCUUUCUAGCGGUGUUAAGACUGGAGGGUAAAAUUCUUGCCGGUCGAAGCGGCGGACAUCCGGGCAACCUUCUUCUUAGCCAGGGGCUACAGAUGUCAGAGCAGUUCAGCAUCAAAACUUGAACAAGAAAAUUCUCAUUGCUCUUAUUGUUGCAUCUACCCUUCUUGGUGGAAUUCUGCGGUUGUUACUUGCUUAUGGGUUUACAGGUUGAGUAAACUGAAGAAAUCCAAUGAAAAAUUAUGUAUAAAGUUAUAAUUCAAUUCCCCCCUCAAAACUAUGUUCUGGAAUAUCCAUCAUUACUAGCAAUUUUAUGGAGGAAAAUGUUUUGGGAGAA